GACGGGGGCCCGCACAAGCGGAGGAACAUGUGGUUUAAUUCGAUGAUACGCGAGGAACCUUACCCGGGCUUGAACUGCAGCGGAAGGAAACAGAGAUGUUGACGCCCUUCGGGGUCGCUGUGGAGGUGCUGCAUGGUUGUCGUCAGCUCGUGCCGUGAGGUGUCGGCUUAAGUGCCAUAACGAGCGCAACCCUUUUCAUUAGUUGCCAUCAGGUAAUGCUGGGCACUCUGGUGAUACUGCCACCGUAAGGUGUGAGGAAGGUGGGGAUGACGUCAAAUCAGCACGGCCCUUACGUCCGGGGCUACACACGUGUUACAAUGGGAGGUACAGAGAGUCGGAUGUACGCAAGUACAUUCUAAUCCUAAAAGCCUUCCUCAGUUCGGAUUGGGGUCUGCAACCCGACCCCAUGAAGCUGGAUUCGCUAGUAAUCGCGCAUCAGCCAUGGCGCGGUGAAUACGUUCCCGGGCCUUGUACACACCGCCCGUCAAGCCAUGAAAGCCGGGGGCGCUUGAAGUCCGUGACCGCAAGGAUCGGCCUAGAGCGAAACUGGUGAUUGGGGCUAAGAAGUAACAAGGUG
rnacentral:rRNA from 1 species